rnacentral:rRNA from 1 species
GACGAACGCUGGCGGCGUGCUUAACACAUGCAAGUCGAACGGAAAGGCCCUGCUUUUGUGGGGUGCUCGAGUGGCGAACGGGUGAGUAACACGUGAGUAACCUGCCCUUGACUUUGGGAUAACUUCAGGAAACUGGGGCUAAUACCGGAUAGGAGCUCCUGCUGCAUGGUGGGGGUUGGAAAGUUUCGGCGGUUGGGGAUGGACUCGCGGCUUAUCAGCUUGUUGGUGGGGUAGUGGCUUACCAAGGCUUUGACGGGUAGCCGGCCUGAGGGGGUGACCGGCCACAUGGGGCCAGAGAGACGGCCCAGACUCCUAGGGGAGGCAGCAGGGGGGAAUAUUGCACAAUGGGCGGAAGCCUGAUGCAGCAACGCCGCGGGCGGGAUGACGGCCGUCGGUUUGUAACCCCUUUUCGCCUGUGACGAAGCGUGAGUGAGGGAAAGGGGUAAAGAAGCACCGGCUAACUACGUC